UACGAAGGGGGCUAGCGUUGCUCGGAAUUACUGGGCGUAAAGGGCGCGUAGGCGGAUAGUUUAGUCAGAGGUGAAAGCCCAGGGCUCAACCCUGGAAUUGCCUUUGAUACUGGCUAUCUUGAGUUCGGGAGAGGUGAGUGGAACUCCGAGUGUAGAGGUGAAAUUCGUAGAUAUUCGGAGGAACACCAGUGGCGAAGGCGGCUCACUGGACCGGAACUGACGCUGAGGCGCGAAAGCUAGGGGAGCAAACAGG
rnacentral:rRNA from 1 species